rnacentral:pre_miRNA from 1 species
ACAGUACUCCCUCUGUCCGAAAAUACUUGUCAUCAAAAUGGAUAAAAAAAGAUGUAUCUAAAACUAAAAUACGUCUAGAUACAUCCCUUUUAUCCAUUUUGAUGACAAGUAUUUCUGGACGGAGGGAGUACAUG